AUGGCUCCUACCGAGGCUGAGGCUGAUGUAGAGGAGGGAGAAGAGAAGAAGAAGAAGGAAAGGAAAGCAGCCGGAGUUGCUUUCACGUGGAUUCAGGAACACUUUGCCACUUGCCCUGUGGAUGCCACUGAUGAUGUGAUCCAGACACAUGCUCGUGUCUAUAUGUGGUACGUUGUCUCGAGGACUUUGUUCCUGACUCCACGGGCAAGAACGCUCCAUGGAUGUGGCUGA
rnacentral:rRNA from 1 species